UGCCCCUGGCAAUGGGCAAGGAGACACCUGAUUGGUGGUGUUGCUCUUACAUCAGUCAGGGGCAAAGCAGAUGUACAGUCCUUAGUUCAUCCUAGCUUGAUACCUCUGUCGGUGGCUAGAGCUGUUUCAAGUCUGAGGCACAUAA
ensembl:snoRNA